GCGGUAAUUCCAGCUCCAAUAGCGUAUAUUAAAGUUGUUGCAGUUAAAAAGCUCGUAGUUGAAUUUCGGAAUCUGUCCGUUGGUCGGGCUUCACUGUCCGCACUGGUGUGAUGGGUUUCUACCUUCUGAAUAACCGGCAUGUCAUUAAUUUGGUGCGCCGGGGAAGCAGAACUAUUACCUUGAAAAAAUUAGAGUU
rnacentral:rRNA from 1 species